CUCCCUCGCCACUUCCAUGGACUGAUAAUCCAUGUUUGCCAUUUUCAGCGGACCCAACGGCAUUCCCAGUUCCCGACCCAGCACAAUCGACCAAAACCACACCCUCUCCCCUUCCGGUGCCUGUUGCUUCGGAACUAGAGAAUCUGGCUACCCUCGUAGCAUUGACUAACCCAGUGCCUAAGAAUACAAUGAAAGUAAGAGCUACUACGAGUUUAGUGCCUGCCAUAUUGUGAGCUUGGGAGUGUAAGAUGAGAUGUGUGUUAGAGCAAAGGAUCACAUGGGUAUUUAUAGGCCGCCGUCGCCAUGCAGCGGCUCUCUAUCUUAAUAAGUUCGGUGGUGGUACACCGUCGGAUGUAUGAGCAGAUAGAAAGAGCCUAGAGCUACAACUCCCAGAAGAUCGAGAUCAAGGAAAAUGCAAAACGGAAGCUAAAACACAACCAGUGUGUGCAGCUCGAACGUUGACUUGACUAUACACAUGCAUGAGACGUAAUGAAGCGGAUCACAAAUUCACAAUGCACUUGUUUUCUAAAUUUCCACCAUCGACACUACUACGGAAAGACUUAUCAGUAACGGUCGAAAAACAACAAGUAACGGGCGGGGCCGCCGUUGCUAACUCCUGCCAGUAAUGAUGUGUAUAACGUUUCCGCGCCCGCCACUGAUAAUAGGUACAUCAGUAACGGUCGCUUUGCCCCAUCAGUGUUGGGCGAGCGACCGACACUGAUACAUUUUCAGUAAUUAAAAAAAAAUUAAAACCACAAAAAAUACACGGCAUUUAUACACAGAAAAUACACAGUACAUGUAUUUGGAAUACACAGAAAAUACACAGCACAACACAUAUAUUUCGAAUUAAACCAUAACCACAUCAUUUCAAGCAUACAAAUGUAUAUAAAGCCGCAUCAUUUAAAGCAUAUAAAGCAUACAAAUGUAUCUCACUUCACGACAUUGAUUACAAAGUGUCAAAAUUUCAUAGCAAAAUCAAGUUUGAACCUAUUGUUGUGGGUGAACCCUAGUAACCACUUGUUCCACGCAUUCGUAGAAGUCCCCACUAGGCUUGAUGAUCUCAUUGUUGAUGAGAUGGCCGAACUCCCUUUGAAUGUUAUACACGAUCCAUUUAGAUCGGUGUGCCAUUGUCAUUUAGAGCCGCCAAUACUCUUCCACAGCCGCGAUUGACCCCUUCCACUCAGGCUUGAACAUGCUGGCAUUCUCCAUAAGGAUGUGACAACAGUAGUAGCCAUAGUACACAGUGCCGGGCAGCUGUUGCUGGCAAGGGAACCUAUGGUUGUGGUGAGACUCGUCUUUAUAGCCUUUACCAGCUAGUUUUCCCUUGCUCGCAACUUUUUAGGCAGUGGUAAUGAGUGACUUGAUGGGUUUCCAGUAGCGACCUCGAACACCC
rnacentral:lncRNA from 1 species